UCGCAUUCUCAAAGGAGGACUCUUGGGCACUGAGACACAUACGGUAAAGAAACAAAAAGGUAAAUUCUCUUUUUGAGACGGAGCAUGAUUGCGUAUGACCACUAGGGGGCAGUCACGACGCUGAGGAUGGUGCCAGGCAAGCGCUCCGCUCAGAACCGUAAAACGAAAGCUGUGUCGCAGGCAGGGUUCUGAAAAAAGCAUUCGUUUGUUUAACAAAUAAGAAAAGAGGGGAGAGAAAGAGAAGGGAGUAUCUUCUUGAUCGUAUUCAUGUAACGCUAAAGGGAAAGGGCAUUAAAAAUAUCACGCGCACGUCUGCGUGCGAUUUCACGGGCACACAUUUCCAGGACAGCGGGCUUCUCCUGGCGCCAUCCGGAGGGCAGUGGUAGGACAGUGAUUCAGCACAUAUGCGGUAAGGAGGUCGGUGCCCGCUCCACUCUGCGAUCUAACCUGCCUACCAAGCAGCAAAAGAUCAAGGGGCUGAGCUGCCGCAGCACGACACGACGCAAACCACUGGCUGCAAGCUUCUGUAACAGUCCAGCGCGGCCCUGGUGGUGUCUGUGCAGCCACAUGUAACCCCACCAGAUGUGCCAGCUGUUUGACCUCUUCGCCAGCGACAGUCCCUCUUAAGGUCUUUCAACAUUGCCGGACAAUGUGAAUUAAUGCUCUUCAAUAGGAUGUAUUGAUGGGUCAGGCACAACACAGCAUCUCUCACAUUAGAGGGAUUUCUUAGGAAGGAAGGUGGAAAGAAAACUUCAAAAACUUAAUGUGAUCAAUUACUAUAAAACAGCACCAAAAGGAUUAUGAAAAAUAAACGUGGAUGUGCUUAUGUCCAAAA